rnacentral:RNase_P_RNA from 2 species
GGAGUCGGACGAGCCGCCGCCGCGAACGCGAGUUCGGGGAGGAAAGUCCGGGCUCCGCAGGGCAGGACGCUGGGCAACUCCCAGGGGGAGCGAUCCCCGGAAAGCGCCACAGAAAACAGACCGCCCGGUUCGCCGGGUAAGGGUGAAAAGGUGGGGCAAGAGCCCACCAGCGGGCGUGGCGACACGUCCGGCUAGGCAAGCCCCGUCCGGAGAAAGGCCAAAUAGGAGCGCGCUCGAGGUCGGCCCGACCGAAGCGCUCGGGUAGGCUGCUCGAGGCGCGGAGCAAUCCGCGCCCUAGAGGAAUGGCGGCAUAGAACAGAACCCGGCUUACGGUCCGGCUCCAGGU